AUCUAUAUAUUUUACAAACAAACAUAUUUUUUUGUUUGUAUAUCUCGAUAUACAACUUUUUGAUAUUAUUAUUUUAAAUGUACUUUUCAGGGACUAAAAGUUAAGACGGAGACGGAAACAGACAAACUUUCAGAUGGAAGCACAGCAGUGUGAGAGAGACGCGUCGGUGGAAAAAUCUAUAUUUAUAUAUUUUGAAAAGCACUGCAUCAUGCCCGGAUCUAUUUCUGGAAUCAAAGACUUCGGAUACAUCCGACGAUUUAAUCCUGCAGAUUGGAUCCAUCAUAUGUUGAAGAUCGUCUUUUUAAUUUAAAGACUCGUGCAACAAAUCGGUGGCCGCGGAGGCGACAUCGUGUUUCCCGACGAGAUCACAGAUGAGAUCGCGAUUGCAUAACCGAUGUCCUGUGUUUUGUCUCGGGGGACGUUUCCCCUCCCCCGAAGCCUCGUCCGACGCGUGUAUGCUA